UGGGGAAUAUUGGACAAUGGGCGAAAGCCUGAUCCAGCCAUGCCGCGUGGGUGAAGAAGGCCUUCGGGUCGUAAAGCCCUUUCGGACGGGACGAAAGUUCCGCGGGGAUAAUCCGCGGAGCCUGACGGUACCGUAGGAAGAAGCACCGGCUAACUCCGUGCCAGCAGCCGCGGUAAUACGGAGGGUGCAAGCGUUGUUCGGAAUUACUGGGCGUAAAGCGCGUGUAGGCGGCCUUGUAAGUCAGAUGUGAAAGCCCUCGGCUCAACCGGGGAAGUGCAUCUGAAACGGCAAGGCUUGAGUACGGGAGAGGGAGGCGGAAUUCCCAGUGUAGAGGUGAAAUUCGUAGAUAUUGGGAGGAACACCGGUGGCGAAAGCGGCCUCCUGGACCGAUACUGACGCUGAGACGCGAAAGCGUGGGGAGCAAACAGGAUUAGAUACCCUGGUAGUCCACGCGGUAAACGAUGGGCACUAGGUGUGGGGGGUAUCCACUCCUCCCGUGCCGCAGCUAACGCAUUAAGUGCCCCGCCUGGGGAGUACGGCCGCAAGGCUA
rnacentral:rRNA from 1 species